UACGUAGGGCGCAAGCGUUAUCCGGAAUUAUUGGGCGUAAAGAGCUCGUAGGCGGUUUGUCGCGUCUGCCGUGAAAGUCCGGGGCUCAACUCCGGAUCUGCGGUGGGUACGGGCAGACUAGAGUGAUGUAGGGGAGACUGGAAUUCCUGGUGUAGCGGUGAAAUGCGCAGAUAUCAGGAGGAAUACCGGUGGCGAAGGCGGCAUCCUGGACCGACAUUGACGCUGAGGAGCGAAAGCUAGGGGAGCAAACGGG
rnacentral:rRNA from 1 species